GAUAGCAGCUCCAUUGCUCUCUGGAUAUCCUGCAACUUCUGCAUUGGAACACUGGGAUUCUACGACAGCAAAGACAGACACAGAAUAUGAGAGAGCGGCUGCUGAUGUUAAACUUGAGCAGACGCACGUGCAUCUGCCUCAGAGACUACAAUACCUAAACACUAACAAUCCUCCUCCAAGCCCAGUCAAGGCCAUGGGCUUGUGUGUUACACAUGAAAAUAGAAGCAAACCCUCUGUUAAAGCCAGGGUCUCUCACUGUUGUCCAGGAUGAAGUGCAGUGGUGUGAUCAUAACUCACUGCAGCCUUGAACUCCUGGGCUCAAUGGAUCCUCCCACCUCGGCCUCCCAAAGUGCUGGGACUACAGGCGUGAGCCACCGUGCCUGGCUGGUUCUACCCUUUUCACUGUGAGUUUCUUGCAUCAAGAGGGCUUUGUGUUUCCCAGAGGCCCAGCAUACAGGGUGCCUGGGGGUUGGCUCCACAGACAGGGAUGGCUGCCAUCUGUGCCACCAGACACCCACGCAGUACAAUCAACCCUCUUCUUGGCCACCAUCUGCCAACACGGGGCCCAGCUGGACAACUUCUGGUUUGGUUUAAACUAGGAGAAUGUCAGGAACUAUUUCCCACCCUUGGCAUUAGAAUGAAGAACGACCGCUGCAAACUGGUUUAAUUCAAAGUCAACGAGAGACUUACCCAUGGCUGCUCCCGCUGAAAUCUGCUGCCAGAUGGUGUUGUGCUAUUCAGGUAAUUAGACAGACACCCAGAA
rnacentral:lncRNA from 10 species